rnacentral:rRNA from 1 species
GCCUAAGGUAUGCUUAGUAAGGGGAGUGAAGUCGUAACAAGGUAGCCGUAUCGGAAGGUGCGGCUGGAUCACCUCCUUU